UACGAAGGGGGCUAGCGUUGCUCGGAAUCACUGGGCGUAAAGGGUGCGUAGGCGGGUUUUUAAGUCAGGGGUGAAAUCCUGGAGCUCAACUCCAGAACUGCCUUUGAUACUGAGGAGCUUGAGUCCGGGAGAGGUGAGUGGAACUGCGAGUGUAGAGGUGAAAUUCGUAGAUAUUCGCAAGAACACCAGUGGCGAAGGCGGCUCACUGGCCCGGUACUGACGCUGAGGUGCGAAAGCGUGGGGAGCAAACAGG
rnacentral:rRNA from 1 species